UCACUGGCAAAAACAUGGCCAGUACUAAAUUGUAAAGUGUAAAAACAUCUUCUCUUAAUCUUAUUAAAAACAUGAACACCUUGCUCAUUUUGCAAAGCGGACCUUGUUUUUAUGGCAGUACAUCUGUGAUACGCCAGCGUUUAAAGCGGAGAGACAUGAUGUCGUACAUUUUGAGGGAGGAUGCAUCUCAGCCUCGGUGGAGUGGCAGCUCACCUUGAAUACAAGUUCCCUGAGGCGGUCUGUGUAUUUGCUGUUGAGAAGCAGGGCGUAAAAAGAGUCGGCUGCUCCGGGCUCAAAGAGGAGCAGGAAGAGCUGGUCCCUGCAUGGACUACUCUGAAGGAGGCUGAGUAACAUCUCCAACAGCCCACAAAUCUUCAACACACACAAAAAAAGGAACCAAACUUAAUAUCCCAAGGCCUUAUUUUGCAGAGUACUUAUUGGUGCAUGAAAUCCAGCUGUCACUGUACGGGGCUUAAAAUGCUUACUGAGACGAUAAUGCUUCAAAAUAUCAAAACAGGAAAGAAAAAAAGGGAUGCCUGGCGGGAAAUGAGCCGGUAACUUCCUGCAAGGGCAUUGCUGCAGGAAUUCUACCGGGGAACCAGAAAGGUCAUCUCGCUGCCCACGCCGAGGAGAAGGAUCUGACCUAUUCGUAAAGGGAAGUCGCCUUUAUUCCAGAUGUUGAAGUUGAACAGCAGAUGUGCAUGAAGUUGCUGCAGCAGAGCUUGAUUCUUCUCAUAGGUCACCUGCUCUA